rnacentral:tRNA from 1 species
GGCAGUGUAGUAUAAUGGGUAAGAGUUAGUCUUGUAACCUAAAGGUCACAGGUUCGAGUCCUCACUAGGACA